rnacentral:rRNA from 1 species
AACCUACCUUUAUCUGGGGCAUAGCCCGAAGAAAUUCGGAUUAACUCCCCAUAAUAUAGAUGAGUGGCAUCACUUGACUAUUAAAAAUUUAUUGGAUAGAGAUGGCAGUGCGUCCCAUUAGCUAGUUGGUAGGGUAACGGCCUACCAAGGCAACGAUGGGUAGCUGGUGUGAGAGCACGACCAGCCACACGGGCACUGAGACACGGGCCCGACUCCUACGGGAGGCAGCAGUGAGGAAUAUUGGUCAAUGGGCGCAAGCCUGAACCAGCCAUGCCGCGUGAAGGAUGAAGGCCUUCUGGGUUGUAAACUUCUUUUAUGGGGGAAGAAAAGCAUUGUUUCUACGAUGUCCGACGGUACCCUAGGAAUAAGCACCGGCUAACUCCGUGCCAGCAGCCGCGGUAAUACGGAGGGUGCAAGCGUUAUCCGGAUUUACUGGGUUUAAAGGGUGUGUAGGCGGGUCUUUAAGUCAGUGGUGAAAUCUCCGAGCUCAACUUGGAAACUGCCAUUGAUACUAUUGAUCCUGAAUUCUGUUGAGGUGGGCGGAAUAGAUCAUGUAGCGGUGAAAUGCAUAGAUAUGAUUUAGAACACCGAUUGCGAAGGCUGCUCACUAAACAGACAUUGACGCUGAGGCACGAAAGCGUGGGGAUCAAACAGGAUUAGAUACCCUGGUAGUCCACGCCCUAAACGAUGAU